GCUCAGUAACACGUGGAGAACGUGCCCUUUAGGGGGAAUAAUCUCGGGAAAUUGAGGAUAAUACCCCAUAGGUCAUGGGAUCUGGAAUGACCCAUGGCUGAAAGUUCCGGCGCUUAAGGAUCGCUCUGCGGCCUAUCAGGUAGUAGUGGGUGUAACGUACCCCCUAGCCUACGACGGGUAUGGGCCUUGAGAGAGGGAGCCCAGAGUUGGAUUCUGAGACACGAAUCCAGGCCCUACGGGGCGCAGCAGUCGCGAAAACUUCACACUGGGGGGAACCCCGAUGAGGGAAUUCCUAGUGCUUGGGCAUUUGUCCAAGCUUUUCCCGAGCGUAGAUAACUCGGGGAAUAAGGGCUGGGUAAGACGGGUGCCAGCCGCCGCGGUAAUACCUGCAGCCCGAGUGGUGGUCGAUUUUAUUGAGUCUAAAGCGUUCGUAGCCGGUCCGUUAAAUCCUUGGGUAAAUCGGGAAGCUCAACUUUCCGACUUCCGAGGAGACUGGCGGACUUGGGACCGGGAGAGGCCAGAGGUACUUCUGGGGUAGGGGUAAAAUCCUGUAAUCCUAGAAGGACCACCGGUGGCGAAGGCGUCUGGCUAGAACGGAUCCGACGGUGAGGGACGAAGCCCUGGGUCGCAAACGGGAUUAGAUACCCCGGUAGUCCAGGGUGUAAACGCUGCCGACUUGGUGUUGGGGGCCCUUCGCGGGAACUCAGUGCCGGAGAGAAGUUGUUAAGUCGGCCACUUGGGGAGUACGUCCGCAAGGAUGAAACUUAAAGGAAUUGGCGGGGGAGCACCGCAACGGGAGGAGCGUGCGGUUUAAUUGGAUUCAACACCGGAAAACUCACCAAGGGCGACUGUUACAUGAAAGCCAGGCUAAUGACCUUGCUUGAUUUUCAGAGAGGUGGUGCAUGGCCGUCGUCAGUUCGUACCGUAAGGCGUUCUCUUAAGUGAGAUAACGAACGAGACCCUCACCGAUAAUUGCCAGUCCGAUCCCCGGAUCGGGCGCACAUUAUAGGGACCGCUGGCGCUAAGUCAGAGGAAGGAGUGGACGACGGU
rnacentral:rRNA from 1 species